AGAGUUUGAUCCUGGCUCAGGACGAACGCUGGCGGCGCGCCUAACACAUGCAAGUCGAACGAGCGAGAGAGAGCUUGCUUUCUCGAGCGAGUGGCGAACGGGUGAGUAACGCGUGAGGAACCUGCCUCAAAGAGGGGGACAACAGUUGGAAACGACUGCUAAUACCGCAUAAGCCCACGGGUCGGCAUCGACCAGAGGGAAAAGGAGCAAUCCGCUUUGAGAUGGCCUCGCGUCCGAUUAGCUAGUUGGUGAGGUAACGGCCCACCAAGGCGACGAUCGGUAGCCGGACUGAGAGGUUGAACGGCCACAUUGGGACUGAGACACGGCCCAGACUCCUACGGGAGGCAGCAGUGGGGAAUAUUGCACAAUGGGGGAAACCCUGAUGCAGCGACGCCGCGUGGAGGAAGAAGGUCUUCGGAUUGUAAACUCCUGUUGUUGGGGAAGAUAAUGACGGUACCCAACAAGGAAGUGACGGCUAACUACGUGCCAGCAGCCGCGGUAAAACGUAGGUCACAAGCGUUGUCCGGAAUUACUGGGUGUAAAGGGAGCGCAGGCGGGAAGACAAGUUGGAAGUGAAAUCUAUGGGCUCAACCCAUAAACUGCUUUCAAAACUGUUUUUCUUGAGUAGUGCAGAGGUAGGCGGAAUUCCCGGUGUAGCGGUGGAAUGCGUAGAUAUCGGGAGGAACACCAGUGGCGAAGGGGGCCUACUGGGCACCAACUGACGCUGAGGCUCGAAAGUGUGGGUAGCAAACAGGAUUAGAUACCCUGGUAGUCCACACCGCAAACGAUGAUUACUAGGUGUUGGAGGAUUGACCCCUUCAGUGCCGCAGUUAACACAAUAAGUAAUCCACCUGGGGAGUACGACCGCAAGGUUGAAACUCAAAGGAAUUGACGGGGGCCCGCACAAGCAGUGGAGUAUGUGGUUUAAUUCGACGCAACGCGAAGAACCUUACCAAGUCUUGACAUCCCUUGACAGGCAUAGAAAUAUGUACUCUCUUCGGAGCAAGGAGACAGGUGGUGCAUGGUUGUCGUCAGCUCGUGUCGUGAGAUGUUGGGUUAAGUCCCGCAACGAGCGCAACCCUUAUCUUCAGUAGCCAGCAUUUUGGAUGGGCACUCUGGAGAGACUGCCAGGGAUAACCUGGAGGAAGGUGGGGAUGACGUCAAAUCAUCAUGCCCCUUAUGAGCAGGGCUACACACGUGCUACAAUGGCGUAAACAAAGGGAAGCGAGCCUGCGAGGGUAAGCAAAUCUCAAAAAUAACGUCUCAGUUCGGAUUGUAGUCUGCAACUCGACUACAUGAAGCUGGAAUCGCUAGUAAUCGCGAAUCAGCAUGUCGCGGUGAAUGCGUUCCCGGGUCUUGCACUCACCGCCCGUCA
rnacentral:rRNA from 1 species